rnacentral:rRNA from 1 species
GAUGAACGCUGGCGGCGUGCCUAAUACAUGCAAGUCGAGCGAACGGACGAGAAGCUUGCUUCUCUGAUGUUAGCGGCGGACGGGUGAGUAACACGUGGAUAACCUACCUAUAAGACUGGGAUAACUUCGGGAAACCGUAGCUAAUACCGGAUAAUAUUUUGAACCGCAUGGUUCAAAAGUGAAAGACGGUCUUGCUGUCACUUAUAGAUGGAUCCGCGCUGCAUUAGCUAGUUGGUAAGGUAACGGCUUACCAAGGCAACGAUGCAUAGCCGACCUGAGAGGGUGAUCGGCCACACUGGAACUGAGACACGGUCCAGACUCCUACGGGAGGCAGCAGUAGGGAAUCUUCCGCAAUGGGCGAAAGCCUGACGGAGCAACGCCGCGUGAGUGGUGAAGGUCUUCGGAUCGUAAAACUCUGUUAUUAGGGAAGAACAUAUGUGUAAGUAACUGUGCACAUCUUGACGGUACCUAAUCAGAAAGCCACGGCUAACUACGCGCCAGCAGCCGCGGUAAUACGUAGGUGGCAAGCGUUAUCCGGAAUUAUUGGGCGUAAAGCGCGCGUAGGCGGUUUUUUAAGUCUGAUGUGAAAGCCCACGGCUCAACCGUGGAGGGUCAUUGGAAACUGGAAAACUUGAGUGCAGAAGAGGAAAGUGGAAUUCCAUGUGUAGCGGUGAAAUGCGCAGAGAUAUGGAGGAACACCAGUGGCGAAGGCGACUUUCUGGUCUGUAACUGACGCUGAUGUGCGAAAGCGUGGGGAUCAAACAGGAUUAGAUACCCUGGUAGUCCACGCCGUAAACGAUGAGUGCUAAGUGUUAGGGGGUUUCCGCCCCUUAGUGCUGCAGCUAACGCAUUAAGCACUCCGCCUGGGGAGUACGACCGCAAGGUUGAAACUCAAAGGAAUUGACGGGGACCCGCACAAGCGGUGGAGCAUGUGGUUUAAUUCGAAGCAACGCGAAGAACCUUACCAAAUCUUGACAUCCUUUGACAACUCUAGAGAUAGAGCCUUCCCCUUCGGGGGACAAAGUGACAGGUGGUGCAUGGUUGUCGUCAGCUCGUGUCGUGAGAUGUUGGGUUAAGUCCCGCAACGAGCGCAACCCUUAAGCUUAGUUGCCAUCAUUAAGUUGGGCACUCUAAGUUGACUGCCGGUGACAAACCGGAGGAAGGUGGGGAUGACGUCAAAUCAUCAUGCCCCUUAUGAUUUGGGCUACACACGUGCUACAAUGGACAAUACAAAGGGCAGCGAAACCGCGAGGUCAAGCAAAUCCCAUAAAGUUGUUCUCAGUUCGGAUUGUAGUCUGCAACUCGACUACAUGAAGCUGGAAUCGCUAGUAAUCGUAGAUCAGCAUGCUACGGUGAAUACGUUCCCGGGUCU